GAUAACUGAGAAAAGCAGUCCCCCUGACAGCCAGGUUAAGUUCCAGGUGCAUGAGGGUGCACAAGGAGCUGAGAGGGGACAGAGCACAUACAGCUGACCCAAACUGAUACUGAAAGGAUGCCCCAUACCAUAUGCCAUGCUCCGCAAUGAAACUGGGGGAGUUGGAGUUGACCCAGGAGGCUGUUAUUGCUUGGGGACUGGCUGGGCAUCAGUCAGCUGGUGGGGGAUUGAGCAAACAGCUAUGUGGUGCUGAGCUGCCUGCUGGGCUAAAUCACAGUCUGUGGAAAGUGGUGCUAGAUGAACAGGAGUCAAAACUGCUUGUGACUGUGAGGGAAGUCAUCCUUCUGAGUCAACCUCCUGUGUUGAGUGGUGCUGAGCAGGAAGCAUUCAACGCUUGUUUCUGAUGACAGUAGCACAGAUGAGAAAACAGCGUCCAGAACACAUGGAAGUACUGGGGUCAGGCUCUUCUGAGUUUCCUUGUGAGUGAAUGUGGAUGAUGGAUGAGUUCUGCAGCUUGCCUUACCUUCUUAUCCAGCCCUUCUCUUCUGCUGACCUACUGUUGGUGGUUAGGUGCCCUUUCUG
rnacentral:lncRNA from 1 species